GCGUGCAGGAUGAAGGCCUUCGGGUUGUAAACUGCUUUUGUACGGAACGAAACGGUCUGCUCUAAUACAGCGGACUAAUGACGGUACCGUAAGAAUAAGCACCGGCUAACUACGUGCCAGCAGCCGCGGUAAUACGUAGGGUGCGAGCGUUAAUCGGAAUUACUGGGCGUAAAGCGUGCGCAGGCGGUUAUAUAAGACAGAUGUGAAAUCCCCGGGCUCAACCUGGGACCUGCAUUUGUGACUGUAUAGCUAGAGUGCGGCAGAGGGGGAUGGAAUUCCGCGUGUAGCAGUGAAAUGCGU
rnacentral:rRNA from 1 species